AGAUGAGCAGCUCAGUGCAGUUCGUAGUGAGUCCUCAGGGUAUGCGUCACAGUCCACCUCCUUCCUGUUUCGGAGCUGCACGGUUCCAGCCUCCUUCAGAUAAUUCAGCAGACAUUUGUUCAUGGGGUCUGAUGCCUCCCGUGCACAGUGAGACGCUUUGGAGUUGGGAUUGAUUUGACUGUCCAUGACAGGGCAGGCACAGCCAAUGCCUGUGCAGACCUCACGGUGCCAUGACAAAGGGCCACGGUGGAGACUGGGGCCAGAAAAGAAGGAGUUUGGGAGGAUGGCUGCCAAGGGCAGAUGCCAGCUCUGGAGGCAGAAUCCUGUGAAGGAUGUCCCUCUGCAGCAGGACCAGGAUGAAGGAGAGAAGCUGCAGUAGGCCUAGGAACAGCAGAAGUCUGCGCAACAGAAGAAGGUUCAGGUUCAGUCAGAGCCAGCAGCAUGUUUGUCUCAGCACUUUCCAGCCAACCCCUGCGGGCGGCCCACGGGCCUGUGCCAUAGCAGGGAACAACAGAAUCUGCCAUGCUUCUACCCAGGGCCGCCAGAAUCCCCACCCCACCUGCUCCCCCCACCCAGGACAGUAAGAAAUACUGAGGCAUUUCAUCCCCAAAAAGUCAAAAGCUGCCCGAUGUCUCAGGACCCCAGGGCAACUCACUGCAGCCAGACAGUGAGUGGACGCCUCUGUGAUGCCAUGUGCUCGUUCUAGAGGACGAGGCAAAGCAGGGACCCCUUCUUCGUCCCUACAGAUAGAAGUAGGACCAUAUUUCCUGCUAUGGCCUUCAGGUGACCCUUCUCUCUUCAGGGUCACAGCAGGGCUUUCUCUUUCCAGUCACACAGCCACUGUCUCAUGCAUCAGAGAACCAAGGUGCGCUCCCUUCUACAUCAUCUUUUUCCUGCUCCACACACUGGGACUUCAGCGUGUGAGAAGAGGCCUUGGCUGGCACCAGGACUUCUCCCCCAAGAGGUGGCCACAGGGACCUGACACUGCUGUCUGGCAAGAGCUGGAGCUGGGAUGGGCACCUCUUGGUGCAAACCCUGCAAAGGCCACGCCUUCCUGAGCUCCAGCUAGUGGCACAGAUGCCUGAGGGCUGUUGGGAUGCCCGCUCCCCUCUGCCUCACAUCAGUGUUGUGCUGGGGUCUCGCUCACAGGGCAGUGCGCCUUUUGGUGCUCCCUUGUGGUUUUUGGAGGUUCUUCACCUCCUUUCAUUGCUUGGAGAAGGAAGGGGUCCAGUCAGGAUGGGUCCAGUCAUGUCCCCACGCCUGCUCAAAGGUGGCUUCCCCCGAUAAACGCACUGCUCUCGCCAUUCGUAUUUUCACCAGUACAAGCUGGAGCCAGAGUCAAAACAGCAGGCCAUGGAAUGCAGGAAGGACAAGGUUCCUACACUGGAGGUUGCAGGGCUCUUCCUCUCCUGUUCAGACCAGACUAAGACCAUGCAGGGAACAUGGCAGCCUAGCUGGCAGCAGUUGCCAGCAAUCUGGAUUUGGCAGGUCUGUUACUGGACCUGUGUGGUGUUAAGAAGCAGGUGUUCUUUCCUAACGGCACCUGAUGCAUGGGCAAUUGCUGCACCUCACAUGCAUACCCAGGAACUAAAG
ensembl:lncRNA